rnacentral:rRNA from 1 species
UACGUAGGUGGCAAGCGUUGUCCGGAUUUACUGGGCGUAAAGGGCGUGCAGGCGGUUUGUUAAGUUCAGGGUGAAAGCUCCCGGCUCAACUGGGAGAGGUCCUUGGAUACUGGCAGACUUGAGGAGGGUAGAGGAGAGUGGAAUUCCCGGUGUAGUGGUGAUAUGCGUAGAUAUCGGGAGGAACACCAGUGGCGAAGGCGGCUCUCUGGGCCCUACCUGACGCUGAGACGCGAAAGCGUGGGGAGCGAACCGG